rnacentral:rRNA from 1 species
AGAGCGAACGCUGGCGGCAGGCCUAACACAUGCAAGUCGAGCGCCCGUAGCAAUACGGGAGCGGCAGACGGGAUAGUAACACGUGGGAACGCGCCCUUCGGUUCGGAAUAACUCAGGGAAACUUGAGCUAAUACCGAAUACGCCCUUACGGGGAAAGAUUUAUUGCCGAAGGAACGGCCCGCGUCCGAUUAGCUAGUUGGUGAGGUAAUGGCUCACCAAGGCUACGAUCGGUAGCUGGUCUGAGAGGAUGACCAGCAUCACUGGGACUGAGACACGGCCCAGACUCCUACGGGAGGCAGCAGUGGGGAAUAUUGGACAAUGGGCGCAAGCCUGAUCCAGCCAUGCCGCGUGGAUGAUGAAGGCCUUAGGGUUGUAAAGUCCUUUUAACGGGGAAGAUAAUGACGGUACCGUAGAAGUAAGCCCCGGCUAACUUCGUGCCAGCAGCCGC